AGCAAUGCCCUAUAUAAUAAGCUGAUUGGGAGAGUCCAAAAAUCACCGAAAUUCUUUCGACGUUUUGUUUGGCAAUCAUAUUAGCGUUAUGGAGAACCCCGCGAUGGAAGUUGGAGCUCCUCCUCCGCCGAGUAAUGAAGACAAUCGGGAAUUCGGAUGCGACCAUUAUAAGAGACGGUGCAAAAUUCGUGCUCCAUGUUGCAACCAAGUCUUCUCCUGCCGUCUCUGCCACAACGAGGCCACUAGCUCGCUGAGCGACCCCAAAGAUCGUCAUGAGAUUGUCAGGCACGACAUCAAGCAAGUUAUUUGUUUACUUUGCAACACUGAGCAAGAGGUUGCUCAGGUUUGCUCAAACUGUGGUGAAAAAAUGGGAGAGUAUUUUUGUGGUAUUUGCAAAUUCUACGACGAUGAUAUCAGCAAAGGGCAGUUCCAUUGCGAUGAUUGUGGGAUUUGUAGAGUUGGUGGACGUGACAAUUAUUUUCACUGUAAGAAGUGUGGAGCUUGCUAUAUGGUAGGGUUGCGUGAUAAUCACUCAUGUUUGGAGAACUCUAUGAGAAAUUACUGCCCUGUCUGUUAUGAGUAUCUUUUUGACUCGGUGGAAGUCUCAAGAGUUAUGAAAUGUGGACAUACAAUGCAUGAUACUUGCUUUCUCAAAAUGAUACAACAGAAUCAGUACCGUUGUCCGAUCUGCUCCAAGACAUUAUUCGAUAUGUCUAAUCAAUGGACAAGAUUAGAGGCAGAGCUAGUGAGUUGACCAUGCUGUUCUGAGAGAUGGAUUGGGUUUGAAAUGUUCAUCUGCUUCUGAUUGAAGCUGUUGAAAUGCCCGAAGAAUAUAAAUAUGAGGUUUCAAUCCUCUGUAAUGACUGCAACACUACCAGUAAGGUCAGCUUUCACAUUUUCGGACACAAGUGCCAACAAUGCAACUCAUACAAUACCCGGAGAGUUUCUUCUCCAGAAAAGGAAUGAAUCAUCAAAACCAAUUAGAAACAAGAAUUAGCAGAGGUUAGAGAAGGUUCUACAUUGUUUUCAUUGGGAGUUUCCAUUCGUCAAGUGAUGUGGUGGUGUAUGAGAGGUAUUAAAGAUUAAUUUCCGUCCUGCAUUUUUGUAGUCUAUUGAUUAUUUUCGGUUGAAGAUACAGAGUAUUAUUGGGGCAUUUGAUGUGAAUCCAUUUUGAAACCUUGCUUUAUUCCUUCACUCUGUCCAUU